rnacentral:RNase_P_RNA from 2 species
GCGGAUGGCCGGAUGGCCGCGGGGGGCAACCUCCGAGGAAAGUCCGGACUCCACAAGGCAACGGUGCCGGGUAACGCCCGGCGGGGGCAACCCCAGGGAAAGCGCCACAGAGAUCAGACCGCCUUUCUUCGGGAAGGCAAGGGUGAAACGGUGGGGUAAGAGCCCACCGCGCGACUGGCAACAGGAGCGGCACGGCAAGCCCCACCGGGAGCAAUGCCAAAUAGGGACCUCGCAUGGGCUGCCUUGGCCCGGGGUCCGGGUCGGCAGCUAGAGCGUCCGGGCAACCGGCCGCCCAGAGGAAUGGUCAUCAUCCCCGGGGAGACCCGGGGUUACAAAAUCCGGCUUACAGGCCAUCCGCGCGU